UGAGGAAUAUUGGUCAAUGGGCGUAAGCCUGAACCAGCCAAGUCGCGUGAGGGAUGAAGGUUCUAUGGAUCGUAAACCUCUUUUAUAAGGGAAUAAAGUGUGGGACGUGUCCUAUUUUGUAUGUACCUUAUGAAUAAGGAUCGGCCAACUCCGUGCCAGCAGCCGCGGUAAUACGGAGGAUCCGAGCGUUAUCCGGAUUUAUUGGGUUUAAAGGGUGCGUAGGCGGCCUUUUAAGUCAGCGGUGAAAGUCUGUGGCUCAACCAUAGAAUUGCCGUUGAAACUGGGGGGCUUGAGUAUGUUAGAGGCAGGCGGAAUUCGUGGUGUAGCGGUGAAAUGCUUAGAUAUCACGCAGAACCCCGAUUGCGAAGGCAGCCUGCCAGGCCAUGACUGACGCUGAUGCACGAAAGCGUGGGGAUCAAACA
rnacentral:rRNA from 1 species